rnacentral:miRNA from 1 species
AAAGAAGUGUAUGGUCCAUAGA